CCAAAUUUGCGCGUCAAAGGGGAAGGAAAAGGGGAGUUUUAAAUGGUAUCAUCAUAAAUUCAUCAAAACUCUGUCUUGCGAAAAACCCAUCCAAAACCUAAUUAGUCUUUUCUACUCCGUAUUACUCACAAACUGCUAUCACCAUUCACCACCGCUGCUUGAUCUCCCGCCGACCCCAAACUGCGCACGACCACCACCGUCGUCAAGGUUGUACGGCCACCGCACGCGAUGCUCCACCACUUUGAAUUUCGAGAAGGGAUUCAUUGUUCCCAAAGAACGUUAGAGCGAGCUUCGAUUCGAUGGAGAUGUUUCAAGGCUAGAUUAAGGAAAGACUUUAUGUAUGACUCCGAGGGAGAGAAUGAAAAUGUGAUAAUAAGGACUCCGCUUUUGUUGUAUGGAUGGAUAAAAGACAGAUUGGGACAAAUUAGUUGCAAUAUCCAAUGAUCCUAAGUUCAAGGAACUAAGUGUCCGAGAAAGAGAGAAAAAGAGAAUUUCAACCUACGGAGGAGGUCAAAAGGGUUACUUGCACUAUGAAGAAGAGAUUGCUGACGAAUUUCAGAAACAAGGAUAGUGAAUAUUAUGUCUGCCGCUACAUGAUCGAGACAAUAGAGUCUAGACAGAUGAUCAUUGCUGACAAGUAUUUUAACAAAGCUCCUCCCACGUAUUCUCAAAAACUGAUUGACGAGCUAAGGGAGAUGUGGAUCUCAUAUGUUACCGGAUAUCACCAGCCAAAUAACGAUGAAGAUGAUGAUGAUUUAUGUAUGUGAGUUGGGCUAGCUCCAAGGAUGAUUUUAGUUAACAAACUAUUUUUGUAUUUUUUUUUUACAUUAUAAAGUUCUUUGAUUUUCUUUUGAUUGUACCUUAUAUGGAUCAUUUUGUCAAUGAAUGAUAGAAUUUUGUUAUUGAAUGAAAGGAUUUGGGGAUGAGCUUUUUUAUA